UGAGGCAGAGAAUGAAGUUGGCUCUCAGACCUCUACUGGAGUUGCAGUUCCUACAGAAGAAGUUGAUGUCAUCAUCCUGCCAGCUACUAUCACCAUAAUCAUCAUUCUUGCUGUCCUGCUGUUACUUGGAAUUGUGUAUAUGAGUAUACAUGGUACAGCUGAGAGGAACAGCAGAAUAAACCUAAAGGCUGUCCAUUCUGAUGCCCACGAUGAGACAAACACAGCUCUCAACCCCAGGAGCACAUCCUCUGAGUAUGACACUCUGCAGAACGUGAGGAACGCAAGUGACACCUACAUGCCUCUCCAGAGAAGAGCUCAGGCCUCAGUGUAUGAGACUCUGCCGAGAAGAGAGUUGCCCAAGUCAGAGAUGGAGCUGAAGGAUCUCGGGAUGAGAUGCCAACACCAACCAUGACUUCUGGACUCUCCAUCUCAUACUCACUGCUAACAUCAGUCUUAUGUUGUUAAAGGAUUUUAUUAUCAGUGCUAACUUUUCCCUUGUUUCCCAUGCUAGGGACAUUUAAUAUUUCUCCAUUGGUAUAGGUUUCUAUGACUCAUCAUCAUUUAGCACC
ensembl:lncRNA